UGCACGUCCACAUUUUCCAAUCAAGUUUAUAAACAAGCUUUUUUGAAAUGAGGACUUCCAUCGCAAUAAUACGUACGAACUUCUUAAAACAACAAAACAAAAACCAUCAGGACAGAUCACAGGGUCGCAACAAAAAAUAAACAAGUCCGAAAAAAAUAAUAAAAAAAUAUUACCACACAUCUUUACAAGGAAUAAAUACUACAUUUAGAAAACCCAAAAUCUACGGUUCUCAAAACAAAAAAAAAAAUCAAAAUCAAAGCCAAGAAGCUACCUCCGCUAUGAACAUGCACCACCUCACUCUACAGUCACUGCAUAGCACACACUUAAACCCCACAAAACAAAAGGUUGUCUUACAAUAAACAAAUUCAACAGAAAGCGUACAAACAUAUAUCACAUAUGUUUAUAAAAACAAAAAAUCUGUGCAUAGAAAAUGAUGUCGAUCCAGAGGCUCCUAGGAUGCCUCCUAUUCGUCGUUUUUUUUUUGGCUCAACAACAAAUUUCAUUAUCCAAAUAUGUGAUUACAAAAUUUUAAACCCCACAUACAUCGACGUGAUCUAAUAUCACCCAGGAACACUUAGAAGGAUCCUACGCUAUCCGAAUCAAUACAACGAUGCAUUUUUCACCACGACGAGACAAAU
rnacentral:lncRNA from 1 species